rnacentral:rRNA from 1 species
GCUGAAGGUACUAUACGAAUAAGCACCGGCUAACUCCGUGCCAGCAGCCGCGGUAAUACGGAGGGUGCAAGCGUUAUCCGGAUUUAUUGGGUUUAAAGGGUCCGCAGGCGGGCCGAUAAGUCAGUGGUGAAAUCUCAUAGCUUAACUAUGAAACUGCCAUUGAUACUGUCGGUCUUGAGUAAAUUAGAGGUAGCUGGAAUAAGUAGUGUAGCGGUGAAAUGCAUAGAUAUUACUUAGAACACCAAUUGCGAAGGCAGGUUACCAUGAUUUAACUGACGCUGAGGGACGAAAGCGUGGGGAGCGAACAGGAUUAGAUACCCUGGUAGUCCACGCCGUAAACGAUGCUAACUCGUUUUUGGGGCGCAAGCUUCAGAGACCAAGCGAAAGUGAUAAGUUAGCCACCUGGGGAGUACGUUCGCAAGAAUGAAACUCAAAGGAAUUGACGGGGGCCCGCACAAGCGGUGGAUUAUGUGGUUUAAUUCGAUGAUACGCGAGGAACCUUACCAAGACUUAAAUGGGAAAUGACAGGUUUAGAAAUAGAUCCUUCUUCGGACAUUUUUCAAGGUGCUGCAUGGUUGUCGUCAGCUCGUGCCGUGAGGUGUUAGGUUAAGUCCUGCAACGAGCGCAACCCCUGUCACUAGUUGCUAACAUUCAGUUGAGGACUCUAGUGAGACUGCCUACGCAAGUAGAGAGGAAGGUGGGGAUGACGUCAAAUCAUCACGGCCCUUACGUCUUGGGCCACACACGUAAUACAAUGGCCGGUACAGAGGGCAGCUACACAGCGAUGUGAUGCAAAUCUC